rnacentral:rRNA from 1 species
CGGCCGCGUCGACGAAGGAUGAAGGUUCUAUGGAUUGUAAACUUCUUUUAUAGGGGAAUAAAAAAGUUCACGUGUGGAUUCUUGUAUGUACCCUAUGAAUAAGCAUCGGCUAACUCCGUGCCAGCAGCCGCGGUAAUACGGAGGAUGCGAGCGUUAUCCGGAUUUAUUGGGUUUAAAGGGUGCGUAGGUGGUCUUUUAAGUCAGCGGUGAAAGUUUGUGGCUUAACCAUAAAAUUGCCAUUGAUACUGGGAGACUUGAGUGUGUUUGAGGUAGGCGGAAUGCGUAGUGUAGCGGUGAAAUGCAUAGAUAUUACGCAGAACUCCGAUUGCGAAGGCAGCUUACUAAACCAUAACUGACACUGAAGCACGAAAGCGUGGGUAUCGAACAGGAUUAGAUACCCUGGUAGUCCACGCAGUAAACGAUGAUUACUAGGAGUUUGCGAUAUAAUGUAAGCUCUACAGCGAAAGCGUUAAGUAAUCCACCUGGGGAGUACGCCGGCAACGGUGAAACUCAAAGGAAUUGACGGGGCCCGCACAAGCGGAGGAACAUGUUUAGG